rnacentral:misc_RNA from 1 species
GAUGAAGAACGUAGUGAAAUGCGAUAAGUAAUGUGAAUUGCAGAAUUCAGUGAAUCAUCGAAUCUUUGAACGCUCAUUGCGCCCGCUGGUAUUCCGGCGGGCAUGCCUGUUCGAGCGUCAUUUCAACCCUCAAGCUCUCCGGAGUUUGGUGUUGGGGCGCCUGGGGCUUUUCGACCUCAGGGCCCUCAAGUCCAUCGGCGGGACCGCCAGGACACUGAGCGCAGUAGUAUUAUUUCGCUCGGUAGGAUCUUCCACGGCGGGUCGAUCUGGCCGCUAAACCCCCCAAUUCUCACCAAAGGUUGACCUCGGAUCAGGUAGGAAUACCCGCUGAACUUAAGCAUAUCAAUAAGCGGAGGA